rfam:Dipodomys ordii contig_51158, whole genome shotgun sequence.
GGGAAUAUGGCUUAGUGGUAGAGUACUUGCUUCACAUGCAUGAAGUCCUGGGUUCGAUUCCUCAGUACCA